rnacentral:lncRNA from 1 species
CUCCACUUACUGUGUGUAGUUUCUGCUGAUGCUCAGAGUUUUACAUGGAUGACAAAUGGAAAGCAUCGAAGAAGGAAGGUUCAAGCAGCCGUUCCUCUGCUUCCUCCAGUGCUUCUCUCAUGAGGAGUUGCUCACAAAAGACCACUUGUUCCAAGUCCCCUCUCAUGAGGAGUUUUUCACAAAAGAGCUCUUCCAUCACGAGAAAGUGUAGUAACUUAGCCAAGGAACAGAAGGCCAAGUUUUACAUCAUAAAGCGUUGUGUUAGCAUGCUUGUCUCCUCAAACAAGCAUGGAGAUUCUUGAAGGGAAGGGAAGGGGGCAAGCUAUGUAGGCAGAUCGAGUAAGGAGCAAAUUCUCUCCUCUCCUCUCCUCUCACUCUCCCUAUCCCCCUUCUUCCUUGGUGAUGCCUCCUGGGUUUGUUUGAAAAUCCAGAUAUGCUCUCUGCCAUCCAAUCAAGAAGAGAUCAGUUUCAUAGAUUUUCCUUGUCUUUUUUUUUUUUUUUCCUUUGUGUAUUGUAGAUUUAAACUGUAACUUCAAUUGAGUUGAGCUACAAAGUGUUUCACGUUGUGAGAAGAGAUUAGUAUAAUAUUAUUGAACAGUUUUCAAUCAAACCUCAAUACUAGAAAGAGUUAUUACACUCCUCUUGAUGCGUUUGUUUGAAGGAUGUUGCAUACUAUCAUCCCCAUCUGUUUUCCUAGUCCUAUUCUCUUAUUUUUGUCUGGAUGAGAGACAGAGAGGGAGAGAUUCCCUUAAGCUGUUGGAACUACCAAUAUAAUAGGACAUGAUUAGUAAUUGGAUCUGCAUCGUAAAUGCAUCCCCAUCUGCCCUCUUUUGGAAAAAAGAGGUGAAUCGGGAUCCGUUAAAAAGUGAUAUCAUAGUAUUUAAGGACUGCAGCUAAACCUUAGCUUCAUUAUAAAAUAGGGAAUGGCCCAUCUCCAAUUAUUCUCCCUCCAUUCAUUCCCAACAAGAAGGUAUUGCAACCCACCACAUGAUAGAAUCCCCUUCAUAAUUAACUGUAUCAAGAACCAUCCAGAAUAUCAUGAUUUGGGCCUUCUGAUUUCAAUCAAUCCUUUCAAUGGUGGCAUGUCAAUUUCUAAGAAUCUCCAUCAACACAGGGUAGAUGAUGAAGAUCGGACAAUAGUUCACAAGAACUAGAAAAAAAUAUAACAGUUGUUAAGACAUGUUUAUUCUCCAUCCUCCCACCUCCUACCAGCUCAAGCCUUUCCAACACAACUUCUUAGCCGAGAUUCUUGCUGAUCUAAUACCUAGAAAGACCGGGCCGGACACUAAUGCAUGUAGAAAACCUCAUUAGCCUGGAUUACUAUCGGGAAAGCUCUAGCUAGCCUUCCCCAAUAGAGCUUUUCCAGAAGUUAUUAAUGAGAGCUCUAGUAACUCCAUACAGGGAGGUCUCACUGCUGAGAUCCAUGAACAUCCUUGCUAACCAGAGCUCAAGUUUUUACCAAGACUCACCAAUUCACUUAUGGAAAAUAAUGGACAAGGUUUCUGUAGCCAAGCAAAGCCCCAUCUUGUUUAUCAACCCUCAUCCUUUCUGACCCUUUAGCCUAAACAGUAUAAAGGAUAACCUGAAAAAGGAUUGUUGCGGGUCACUGGUCUGCACAACUUUCCCUUUUCUGAUAUUGGGACAGACCGUAUAGAUAUAAGACCCUAAGGAUGGCACAGACAGAGCUAAAAGAAAAAGAUCAUGAAUUUGAAAAUAUUUUCUCGGUAGAAUUUGGAUCCUCCACCUUCACAUUGAUUGAUUAAUAAGUCUUCUCCACCAAAAUCACCAUCAUUAUCAUAUAGUAAGUGCGUGACCAGACACAUCGUGAUCAUUAAGUUCUUGGCCAUCAUAACGGAAAUCUCAAGGAGAACCUGGUGUGUGAGCUCAAAUCUUUGACCAAGAAAUGGCCACAUUAUUCCUUUUUUUAUAAGCCCCAUCUGGACAGCUCUGUUAGUAAGCCGUUAUCGCUACAAAUAUAGAUAAUAAAUUAACCCCAAAGCUAAACUAUUCUAACCCAACUCAACAUACCUACAUAUGCAUGUAAAAUUGAACCAGAAGCUAAGAAAACUGAAAUCUUACUUUCACAUCCCACAUCCCCCAUAGGCCAUUUUAACAUCCAUCCAUGAAAUUUUAAAAAAGAAAAUAAAGAAAUUGAAUAAAAUGUAAAUAAAUCACCCUCUUGCAGAGCAGACAAAUCAAGAAGAGGGAAACAAAUGAAGUAGGUGAUGGCAUACCUUAGUAAUAAGCCUCUCAAGACUGAGUUUCAUGACCCUACUACAGCUUUUCUUUUAUAUAUAUACAAAUGGCCCACUGCUUGUUUUUAUAUGGAUGGGUUAGCUGGAACCAGAGGUCUGUGACUAGAACAGGGGCAAUGCCGGACGAAAUGAUUCAGCAAGUUAGCUCCGAAACAUAAACCAGAGAGUCCCACCAUCAGACAACUAUUUCCGUAGCCUAACAUGUUACAGCUUCUUCCUCUCUGGCCUGAUUUCCAUGGUCCAAGUAUAGGCCCUGAUCUUCCGCAUACCGGUUGCUUGAAAUUCAUCUGAACUAAUGUAUGCAGUCGUGGCAGUAUUGCAUACACAAUUCAAGUUAUCAUGCUUUUAAAGUAGCACUCAACCCAGGUACGAUUGAUGACAAAAACUCA